rnacentral:lncRNA from 1 species
CCUUGAAGUUUUUUUUUUUUUGCCUGAGAUUGAUCAGAGCUGUGUUUUCAUGGCUAUUUUCAAUAAUGAAAGAGGGUCCACCAGGUCCAGAAGGUCCCCGGGGUCUACCUGGAAGUGGGGCUAUUAAAGGAGAAAGAGGUAACCCAGGCCAACCUGGGCAACCUGGUUUGCCUGGUUUAAAAGGUGAUCAAGGUCCUCCAGGACUCCAGGUAGGAAAUAGGAGUAGAUAUUUGAUGAGAAAUGGAUGUAGGUGUUUGCAUUCAAAACGAAAAUUCCAAACUGCAUUGUUUUAAUUCGCAUUUACUAGUCAAGGCUCUUUGCAUGGCUUACUGGUGAAGUACAGAGAAAAAGGCAAGUUUCCUGUCUUCUACCAACGAAAGGGACUUUGCUACCUUAUAGUUAAAGGGUUCCCCAACAGAUAGUUUUAACUGGAGUUCUUGGUGUGUAUAGAUUUUAAUUUCAGAAACUUUG